rnacentral:rRNA from 1 species
UACGUAGGGGCGAGCGUUGUCCGGAAUGAUUGGGCGUAAAGGGCGCGUAGGCGGCCUGUUAAGUCUGGAGUGAAAGUCCCGCUUUCAAGGCGGGAAGUGCUUUGGAAACUGGCGGGCUGGAGUGCAGGAGAGGUUAGCGGAAUUCCCGGUGUAGCGGUGAAAUGCGUAGAGAUCGGGAGGAACACCAGUGGCGAAGGCGGUUUCCUGGCCUGAUACUGACACUGAGGCGCGAAAGCGUGGGGAGCAAACAGGAUUAGAUACCCUGGUAGUCCCUGAG